GACAGUUAAUUCGGUCCGUUGCGCUGCUUUGAAAAUUUCCACCCUUGACUUGCAAACAAACAAAAACACCAACCUUUAAGCUAAUGUCUUUCCCUGUGUGAAUAUAAUAACUUCUCCCGGUGACAGAAAUUCUGCUGUGAGUAGUGGCAAGCUUUGCUUUGUUGAAGCCUCCUGCAAACCCACAUUGUUUGAAGUCAUUACACACAGAGGAGCUGAAGCCUGGUGUUGUGCUCCAGCAACUGAGUGAGCAACAUGAUGCUGCAGGAAUGAGAUGGAGAGAAGGAGAUGCUGAUGACAGUACAGCUCCAGCCUAUGGUGAGAAGUCAAAGCAUCAUGAGAAACACCGAGACAAGAGGCUCAACUCCAUAGCAUGACACAGCACAGACUUACUAAUUCCCCCCAGAUGUAGAGAAACCACGAGGUAUUUCUGCCCCAGCCAAACCCAGGAGAUCCCUCGGCAUCAUAAGCUUGCUCUCGGCCCAGCAGUGUGUCCUGUCAAAUCAUUAUUACAGCAUAUGUCAUCUGAGCUGGCCAAGAGAUCUAACGUGACAGCAUUCCAUAAUCCACAUUGACAAAGUGGGUUCAGGCUGCAUGUGCACAGCUCCCACUGUGGCCAAAAUGGCUCUGAAGUGGCCAUAUCAAUGGUGACUGAAAUUAGUACUGAUGCAUCCCCUAAAACUCACAUGAGGAACCUCAAGUGAAGUUGGAGAAACAGAAUAAGGCAACAUACAUAACCUUGAAAUUCCUUUGCUGCUCUGAGGGGCAGCUCCACAAUUUGCUCCCAGAGCUGAGUCCAGUUUAUGCCUCGGUCAGCCAUCAUCCUCAGAUGAAACAACUUCAGUGAGUGACUGAGCACCCUUCAUGCAGCCCCCACUGCCAUCUGAGCACUGCACAUGGAGACAUCAGGGCACCCUUCUGUGAGAGAAUGGACACCAGCACUGCUUUGGAGUCACCUGGGCUUUCAGUGUAGCGUGAUCCAAGCGCCCAACAAUUUGGCAUGGGACACACAAGAUCUUGGACUGGGCCUUCUCAGCAUCACUACAGUACAAAUACUAAGCAGGAGCUGUUGUGCAACACUGCUCUCUAUGUGACACCUGUAGCGAGUGGAGUGAGUUGCUAUCACUGGGUACUUUGUAAAGCUCUGUGGGAUGCCCGAGGUUGCCAGUGGCUGUACACAAGCAAGAGCUUAAUGUUGCUGGAACACCGCCUGCAAACGAUGGUUGCUAGGAGGAGUUUCACCGGGAUGAGAAACAUAUUGCAAAACUACUUAAAACAGUAUUUUCAGCACCUCCAGAAACUCCCUGAUGGGAUUUCAAAGUCUUUGCUCACUACAGAGAUAUUUACACCCACUCCAGUCCUCCAGAGAAGAAUCAUUUCCUCAGGUUUUGACUGUGCUCAAUAAAAAGAGUACAUGUCUUUUGUUAGUGAAAAAAAAAACAAAAAACAUCGCAAUUUCCCCAGACAAGAAGAGAGUUGCUGUGAUCCUCACCUACUGAACGCUGAUGUGGCUCUAAGCAAUGUCAUAUAGCUUAUCCACCACCAGGGAGCAUUCCCCUCAUCUGUGAAAAAAAAACAUGGUUAAUUUUUUCUUCUCCAACCAAAAACUGGUCAAGGACAACUACUUAGAAAAGCACCAAAAUGCAAUUCCUUCUCUCAAUAAAACCUUCCAAGCUACAAAUAUUUGCCCCCCUAAGAUGACUGAAGUUGUGGGGUCCUCAAAAAUUGAAUCUGCACUGCGUGGGUGGGGAAUUGAACCACAAAACUCAGCUCACCUGUGUGGGACUGAGAGCCACAGGUGUUACAAACUCCUUGCACAGUUCCCAGCCCCCUGCAGUCAUCGCUUCUGUAUGUUGCCAUGGGCUGCUCUGAAGCUCCUGUCCUUCACCUGGGGUUUGGCCAGGUGUGACAAUCAGCCAGCAGAGCCGUUAUCUUGCUAAAUCAAUAAAGUGACAAACUUCAAACAGGCCAUUAUAAAUAUUAGCAGAUCAUUGAGAAUUUUUAUGGAUGAGAACAAGGAAAGUUAAUUUUUAGUGAUCUCAGAUCCAAGGAAUCCACUUCUGGAGACAUCUAAUGUCUCAGUGACAGAAGACACAAACCUCUGCCUCUAACAGUCCAGUAUCAUGAUCCAUAUUCCUAACAGAUGAUGGAUGGAGAUGUUGCAAGCUCUUCUGGGGCUCUGGAUGCUGAGCAAAGCCUGUUGUCCUCCAAACCAAACUGCUGCCAGCCAAAGAAAAGUUAUAAGUGGCAAAGCAAAAGCUACUAAAUAAGAAUUUAAUUUAGAUUGAUUAAGAUAGCUAUUACACGUCAAUUCAUUUAAAUACAAAUGGAUUAUUUGGAAUGUGAUUAUUGAAGAUUAACGGCUCCUGCACACAAUAUAAAUACGUAGCUAAUUAUAAAGUCAAGCAGUCAUUAUUAAUAUUUCUAACGAUCAAUUUGUAUUCAAACAACAUAAAAUCACCAAUUCUGUGUCUUCUGCAGUCAUGGUAAUUGGGAAAAGAGGCCAUGAUCUAUGCAGAAAUCAAUGGGCUGCUGAGUGCCUGGCUGAAGGCAGAGCUGUGGAGCUGAGUUUUCCGAGACACACAACAAAACUGGGAGCUCAGAUCAAGCAGAAGGAGUUAUUUUUGUUAUAUUUUGGUUAUAUUUGUUGUUCUUCUGUAAGCACAGCCAGAGAGAGACUAAAUGAAAAGAUCACCAAAAUGCUUGCUGCAGUCU
ensembl:lncRNA